UCUCGGCAAAAGUGCCCUCCUGAAUUAGGAAGGCGCAAAGAAUGAGGAACCCUGGCUUUAACCUCAGCUGAGAAGCCCGGGUAGGAAAGUGAAGAUCCUGUAUGUCAGCUGACCCUGAAGGCAACGCCCCGGGGAAUGACAGAGCACCAAGGUGGAAGGAGCCUGGAUCCCUGAAUCACUGCACAGAGCAGAGCUGCCCUGUCACCUAAUGAUGUUAUCUGAGAGCAUCAUCAACUUCUUUAAGCCGCUGCUUUGGUUUGGUUUGGCUUGGUGGGGGCCUGUCUGUUACAACAGCGUACCCGGAUUAACCUAGGUUCAUCUGAGGCAUAUACUAUAAUGUUCUUGUGGCAGAACCAACUAACUUUUUCAUCCGAGUAGAAUGUGGCUACUAGGAAAUUUAAGACUACGUAUGUGGCCUGAAGAACAUUUCCAUGAACCAGCGUGGCUCCGGAAGCUGAGGGCAGGAUUUGGGGGAAAGCGUGAAUGCAGUCCCCCACUACCACAAAUUAUGCAGUUGAGUUUCCCACGUUUGGGGAAGUCGUAGGAGUCAGCACGUCCGGAGUGCAGGGGAUCAGCCUCGCCCCAGGGAAACCACCUUCCUGAUCAUGGCAUCUCCCCUGCCAGGUAAGUGUCAAGCCAGUGUGUUUUAAAAAUCCUUUUUUCUGCUGCAUUUUGCUGGUGUGAACCAGGUACACUUGCUGGGGGCAGUAUGGGCUGUACACCUUAUGCCACAGGAAUAAAAGACAGCUGGCUUCUGGCACCCAUCUCUCCAGGCCAGGAGAACAUCAAAUGCUUGAAAAUGAGAAUCUUCAGUCUUCAGGGUGGCCA